GGUUUAAUCUCAUAAAUUGAAUUUUUGUUGAUAACUAUCAGAAUAUAAAAUCUUGAAUAUAUAGUUCUCCCACUAGAGAGAAGUAAAGCAGAAAUACUAGAAGAUGCAACAGCUAAUACAAUAUUUUUUUUAACUCUAACUGUAGCUAGAAUAGUCUUAUAAAUAUAAAAUUUUUUAGUGCCACCAUGUCUAUAUAUAAAAAAUAAACCAUCACUAUUAGCUGAGAUU
rnacentral:lncRNA from 1 species